rnacentral:pre_miRNA from 1 species
UAUAAUUUUUGACUUUUCGUCUUAUUCAACUUUUUUAUGAUUGAUAUUUUUGUUUUUAUUAGAUGAUAAAUCAUAAAUAGUAUUUUACGUGUGACUAAUUUUUUCUAAUUUUUUGAAAAUUUUUCAAAUAAGAUGAAUGAUCAAACGUUGGACAUAGAAAUCGAAG